CAAGAGCGUAUAUUAAAGUUGCUGCGGUUAAAAAGCUCGUAGUUGGAUUUCAGUCUAGGAAGGUUAACUCGCCGAAAGGUUGUACGUUGAUUUUCCUCAGACUUCGUCAGAAGCUCGUGCUGCACUUAACUGUGUGGUACGAUGUUCUGACCUUUUACCUUGAGGAAAGUAGAGUGUUUCAGGCAGGCUACCCAGCUUGAAUACAUUAGCAUGGAAUAAUGAAAUGGAUCUCGGUUCGAUUUCGUUGGUUCUAGAGCUGAGGUGAUGAUCAAUAGGAACAGGCGAAGGUAUUCGUACUUGAGAGUGAGGAGUGAAAUCCAAUGAUCUCUUAAAGACGAUCCGAGGCGAAAGCAUUUGUCAAGGGUGUUUUCAUUGA
rnacentral:rRNA from 1 species